AUGUUUAGCAAACUUGGAGCAAAACACUACAGAAGCCUCACAGAGAGCUACAACUAAUGCAAACCUUGAGCGAAGCACUGUAGAAGCCAUACAGAGAGCUACAACUAAUGAUUGGCGUCAACGUUUGGUGUUGCGACAAACAGGAUCUUUCUGCUAUAAGAGUAAGAAGUCUAUUAAGAUCUGUUCUAAUGAACAUGCAUAAAACGGCUGCACAACAAUGCAAUUUGCUCUUCAAUGCUCUUCAACACCUAUGUUAGAAUUGGUUUGAUCAAUUGAUUUGAUCGUUCUUUAAAUUAUCAGCACUGCCACCGACCUUGGGCUAUAGCAAGUUACUUACAGAAUUAGAUGGAUUUUGUCAAACAUCAAAAUGGUAGUAAUGAAAAUGGAUAUUGAGGGCGUGCUGCUACAAUCGUUUAACCGUUUCCCCCUUUAGAAUCUAUAGAACAGCCAGUGGAUUAUUAAACACAAUAUAUUAAAUGCACAACAUACUUUUGUUUCUAAUGUUAUUAGCACUCCUCACAAUGUAACUAUACCAUCAUUCACACUGUAUAUAUUUUUCUUAUGCUCAAAACUUUCAUUGUAUUAGAACUCCAGUUGCAAUAGGGCUAUCUCUAGCCAGCUAUUUGAACUAUCGGGACAGUCCCGCUUGAUCUUUCGUCUCCAGUUUUUAAACCUUACCUUCAAAAUUAUACAUAAAUAGAUUAAUUUAUGCAUCUGAAGUUGGACGAUCUUAAAAAGAUGGUUCUAUUUUAUUGAAAUUUUAUACUCAAAAUAGCUCCAAUUUUUUUAAUGGUUCAUUCAGUUUAAAUACGCAUAAAAUUGGUCCGCUCUUUUAAAAUGUGGGGGCACAUAGUUUUAACUAAAAGGGGUCCCAUUAAUUAAAGCUUCGUCUACAUUAUCACAUUUCAUCAAAAAGGCAUCACGUCGUUGUACCCAUAUAUGGGCACAUCGCAUUUUUUUGUCACAUGGAAUAAUAGACCUUUCCGGAGUGUCAAUCAAACUUACCAACUGACUAAUCAGAACAGCGCUAGGAAU